rnacentral:rRNA from 1 species
UUGACCGUGUCAAGUAGCAUAAUCCAUUGUCUUUUUAUUAAAGGCUAGAAUGAAUGGUUGAAUGAGAUAUUUCCUAUUUUUAUUUUAAUAAAAAUGAAUUUUAAUUUUUAGUAAAAAUGCUAAAAUAAAAAAAUUAGACGAGAAGACCCUAUAAAUCUUUAUUUUUAAAUAAUAAUAUUAAUUAAGAAAAUUUUCAAUAAAUUAUUUUUUAAAAAUUUUAUUGGGAAGAUAAUGAAAUUUUAAAAACUUUUAUUUUGAUUUAUAAAUAUAAUUAAUUUAUUGAAUAUAUUUUAAAAUAUUUAAAAAAUUAAGUUACUUUAGGGAUAACAGCGUAAUUAUUUUAGAGAGCUCUUAUCGAUAAAAUUGUUUGCGACCUCGAUGUUGAAUUAAGUCAUUAAUAUAAGAUGCGACACAAGUUGAAU